rnacentral:rRNA from 1 species
UGGUGCAGCAGGCGCGAAACCUUUNCACUGCACGACAGUGCGAUAGGGGGAUCCCAAGUGCACAGGCAUAGCGCCUGUGCUUUUCGGUACCCUAAGGCGGUACCAGAAUAAGGGCUGGGCAAGACCGGUGCCAGCCGCCGCGGUAAUACCGGCAGCCCAAGUGAUGGCCGAUCUUAUUGGGCCUAAAGCGUCCGUAGCUGGCCACGCAAGUCCAUCGGGAAAUCCACCUGCCCAACAGGUGGACGCCCGGUAGAAACUGCGCGGCUUGGGACCGGAAGGCGCGACGGGUACGUCCGGGGUAGGAGUGAAAUCCCGUAAUCCUGGACGGACCGCCGAUGGCGAAAGCACGUCGCGAGAACGGAUCGGACAUCGAGGGACUAAAGCCAGAGUCUCGAACCGGAUUAGAUACCCGGGUAGUCCUCGCCUAUAACCCAUCCAUUAUUUGGGUACCGCAUUAGGUACCGAAAAGCACAGCAGCUAUGCCUGUGCACUUGGGUCCCCCUAUCGCAGACCGCCUGGGAAGUACGUCCGCAAGGAUGAACUUAAAGGAAUUGGCGGG